GCAACGUUGCCGGAGUUGGUAACGGCUCUCACUGCAAAUGAGGUGUUCACUGGUUCAAGUCCAGUACGUUGCUCCA
rnacentral:tRNA from 2 species